rnacentral:rRNA from 1 species
UACAGAGGGUGCGAGCGUUAAUCGGAAUUACUGGGCGUAAAGCGCGCGUAGGCGGCUUUGCAAGUCGGGUGUGAAAUCCCCAGGCUUAACCUGGGAACUGCAUUCGAGACUGCAUUGCUAGAGUAUGGGAGAGGGAAGUGGAAUUUCCGGUGUAGCGGUGAAAUGCGUAGAUAUCAUCAGGAAUACCGGAGGCGAAGGCGGCUCACUGGGGGUUAUCUGACGCUGAGGAACGAAAGCCAGGGGAGCAAACGGG